UACGAAGGGGGCUAGCGUUGUUCGGAAUUAUUGGGCGUAAAGCGCACGUAGGCGGCUUUGCAAGUCCCAUGUGAAAUCCCACGGCUCAACCGUGGAAGUGCAUGGGAAACUGCAGAGCUUGAGUACUUAAGAGGAUCGCGGAAUUCCCGGUGUAGAGGUGAAAUUCGUAGAUAUCGGGAGGAACACCAGUGGCGAAGGCGGCGAUCUGGGAAGAUACUGACGCUGAGGUGCGAAAGCGUGGGGAGCAAACAGG
rnacentral:rRNA from 1 species